GAUGAAGAACGUAGCGAAAUGCGAUAAGUAAUGUGAAUUGCAGAAUUCAGUGAAUCAUCGAAUCUUUGAACGCACAUUGCGCCCGCCAGUAUUCUGGCGGGCAUGCCUGUUCGAGCGUCAUUUCAACCAUCAAGCCCCCGGCUUGUGUUGGGGACCUGCGGCUGCCGCAGGCCCUGAAAACCAGUGGCGGGCUCGCUAGUCACUCCGAGCGUAGUAAUACAUCUCGCUCAGGGCGUGCUGCGGGUUCCGGCCGUUAAAAAGCCUUAUUUACCUAAGGUUGACCUCGGAUCAGGUAGGAAGACCCGCUGAACUUAAGCAUAUCAAUAGCGGAGGA
rnacentral:misc_RNA from 1 species